rnacentral:misc_RNA from 1 species
GAGAAGAGAAGAGGAGAGGAGGAGAGAAGGGAAGGAUAGAAGAGAAGAGGAGAACAGGAGACAAGAAGGCUAAAAAAAACUUACUUUGAAAAGGCAUGCCUUGCCUCGUCUCACUUGGAGACUCAGUGCCCAGGCAAGAGAGGCACUCGCCCCUUGGGACUAGGGCCGCACGCCUCGCCUGCCUCACCCAAAACCUUUUGGCACCUUUAAUAACAUGGAUAAAUUUUAACGACCGUCCCUGAACUUAUCUAAUUAUAACAUUACAGUCCCUCAACU